UACGUAGGGUGCAAGCGUUAAUCGGAAUUACUGGGCGUAAAGCGUCCGCAGGCGGUGAUGUAAGACAGAUGUGAAAUCCCCGGGCUUAACCUGGGAACUGCAUUUGUGACUGCAUCGCUGGAGUGCGGCAGAGGGGGAUGGAAUUCCGCGUGUAGCAGUGAAAUGCGUAGAUAUGCGGAGGAACACCAAUGGCGAAGGCAAUCCCCUGGGCCUGCACUGACGCUCAUGCACGAAAGCGUGGGGAGCAAACAGG
rnacentral:rRNA from 1 species